GAAAAGACCAAAAAAAU
rnacentral:sRNA from 1 species